CAUAACUGACAUGUGGCCUAGAGGAGUCAACCUGGUGCUCCAAUCAGGUGACUGAACUCUGGUACCAACUCAGUUGCUCAUUGCUCUGAGACCUUAAGCAAAAUGUUUGGGUUCUGUCUUAGGUGCUUAUCUUUUGUCAAUUUCCUUUUCUAAAGAGCUUUUGAAAACAUUUAUGGUAAUUUCACCUGCUAAAUUCUAGUCCACUGAUCGUAAUAGAUACAGUUACAUUUUUUUCUCUUUCCCACACAGUGCCUUACUUGUUGCCAGAUAUAAAGAUAGAAAAUUCAUUACUGAUAUAUACUGGAUCACCAGAAGACUGGAUGGUGGCUGUGAAUCAAAGAAGGCAGGAGGUGAAAUUAUCCGGGGAACCUUAGAAUGACAUAGUGAAGAAAAACCAGAAAAUGAGCAGUGUGGAUCCCACUGCCAAUCUCAGUGCAAGAAAACCCAGAAAAUGCUCUUUCAGAGGAGAUCUAAAUCUGAUCUGCAAACUAAAGCCAAGUCUGAAGGAGACCCUAUAAGACCAGCAGGACCAAGGAUGCCUGGGGAUUUCUAAGAUACAACGCUCAACCUCUAUGCAGUGCAGUAAGGACAUGAGAACUUCCUGGAAUGUAAUGUGUUUGUCGAAACAAGUAUAUAUGUUCAGUUAAGCCUAAUGAUGC
ensembl:lncRNA